CUGGGUGGUUGUAUUAAGGCACCAGAUCCUGUCAGAUCUUGGGUGCUAAGGUCAACUCUGGUUAGUACUUGGAUGGAAGACUGCCAGGGAAUACCAGGUGCUAUUGGUU
rnacentral:rRNA from 1 species